rnacentral:rRNA from 1 species
GACGAACGCUGGCGGCGCGCCUAACACAUGCAAGUCGAGCGAGAACCUGGCCUUCGGGCCAGGGGACAGCGGCGAACGGGUGAGUAACACGUGGGCAACCUGCCCUCGGCACUGGGAUAGCCCGGGGAAACCCGGAUUAAUACCGGAUAGCCUCCGGAGCCUUCGGGCGCCGGAAGAAAGGUGGCUUCGGCAUCCGGCCGAGGAGGGGCCCGCGGCGGAUUAGCUUGUUGGUGGGGUAAUGGCCUACCAAGGCGACGAUCCGUAGCUGGUCUGAGAGGACGAUCAGCCACACUGGGACUGAGACACGGCCCAGACUCCUACGGGAGGCAGCAGUGGGGAAUCUUGCGCAAUGGGCGAAAGCCUGACGCAGCGACGCCGCGUGCGGGAAGAAGGCCUUCGGGUUGUAAACCGCUUUCAGGAGGGACGAAGCCACUCGGGUGAACAGCCCAGAGGGUGACGGUACCUCCAGAAGAAGCCCCGGCUAACUACGUGCCAGCCGCCGCAGUAAUAC